ensembl:lncRNA
CUGUAGUAGUGAUAGUAAAGACUAGAAUAAUUAUUUUAAACUAUGAAUUUCACAGUACUCAGGUUUAUCCUAAUAUGCUCUAAGUUCAUGUAAAUUGUGAUGGGAGGAGGAAUAAUGUCCAACAUAGUGUUAAAUCAGGUCAUGUCAUUCACAGGAAUAAAACAUUUAGUGCUAUAAAGGUCACAAACUGAAGAGCUUUCUUGAGUUAUAUAAGCUCAUUUCGGCCCUUGUCCAGUAAAUUGAAAUGCCUGGUCCAUGCUCAGUAGGUAAACACUGCAAAUAGAAAUAUCCAAUGGAGCUGAGAAUUUUUUUUUAUUUGCCAUGUUUGUUCUACAUAAUAAUACAUUUGAAGUUUUAGUAAAGUUGUGCCCUCUAGAAAGUGAUCAGAUAAAUAAAUGGUUCACAUUGGCACCUGAUUUGAGUAGCAAUGGCCACGACCAAAUCACAAUAGCUUUGUGUUUGUGAGUUUCUUUAUAGUGAUUUAUUGUUCUAAAGAUUCCAGAUCCUCCAGUUCAGUCUAUAGGGUCGUGUUCAGUAAAGAGCACACUGCAGCAAAAAAUGAUGCCCUGUUUUGGGGUAAUUUAUUUAUUUUCUCUUUAUUUGGUAUCAAUGAACAUGACCCAGGACUGGCUGUCUUUUUAGUUCACAUACACACAGCCUUUCCUAAUGGUACCAUGAAAAAUACUAUUGAUCUAGUAAGAAUACUAUUAUAAAAACUAAUUCAAAGCACGUAAAUGACACAGCAGAAGCAUUUUCAGCUCUAUUACUUGUGGUAAAUAAGUCCUGCGGACUUAAACAAAUUUUGUCUGGCCCUUAUACACUGAUAGGUACAAUAACAGUUGACUAAAGGACUAACGGUUAAAGGGAUAGCCACUUGUGAUGACAUUUCUGAUUUUUACAUGACAAGCUGUUGAAAUCUUCAUCCAUUUUUCUAAUGUGAAUUGUUGUUGUUUUGGGUGCAAAAUAAAGUACCUUUGUGAGAUGUCAAAAAAUAAUAUGAAGUGAUAUCCUUAAUCUGAACCUCUCUGUUGGCUUGUGGUUACACAGGUGAAUACAUAAAGAUGAAACUUUUUUUUUAAUUUGAUCAGGCAGCUAGCUUCCCAAGGAUAGAUGGAUGUGGUGUGUAUAGUGGGAGCAA